rnacentral:rRNA from 1 species
UACGUAGGGUGCGAGCGUUAUUCGGAAUUACUGGGCGUAAAGCGUGCGCAGGCGGUGAUGUAAGACCGAUGUGAAAUCCCCGGGCUUAACCUGGGAAUGGCAUUCGGGACUGCAAGGCUGGAGUGCGGCAGAGGAGACUGGAAUUCCUGGUGUAGCAGUGAAAUGCGUAGAUAUCAGGAGGAACACCGAUGGCGAAGGCAGGUCUCUGGGCUGACACUGACGCUCAUGCACGAAAGCGUGGGGAGCAAACAGG